GACGAACGCUGGCGGCGUGCCUAAUACAUGCAAGUCGAACGAGAGCGACCGGUGCUUGCACUGGUCAAUCUAGUGGCGAACGGGUGAGUAACACGUGGGUAACCUGCCCAUCAGAGGGGGAUAACAUCCGGAAACGGAUGCUAAAACCGCAUAGGUCUUCGAACCGCAUGGUUUGAAGAGGAAAAGAGGCGCAAGCUUCUGCUGAUGGAUGGGCCCGCGGUGCAUUAGCUAGUUGGUGAGGUAACGGCUCACCAAGGCCGUGAUGCAUAGCCGACCUGAGAGGGUGAUCGGCCACAUUGGGACUGAGACACGGCCCAAACUCCUACGGGAGGCAGCAGUAGGGAAUCUUCCGCAAUGGACGCAAGUCUGACGGAGCAACGCCGCGUGAGUGAAGAAGGUUUUCGGAUCGUAAAACUCUGUUGUUAGAGAAGAACAAGUGCUAGAGUAACUGUUAGCGCCUUGACGGUAUCUAACCAGAAAGCCACGGCUAACUACGUG
rnacentral:rRNA from 1 species